rnacentral:rRNA from 1 species
CCUGGUUGAUCCUGCCAGUAGUCAUAUGCUUGUCUCAAAGAUUAAGCCAUGCAUGUGUAAGUAUGAACUAUUUCAGACUGUGAAACUACGAAUGGCUCAUUAAAUCAGUUAUAGUUUGUUUGAUGGUAUCUACUACUCGAAUAACUGUAGUAAUUCUAGAAUUAAUACAUGCACCAAACCCCGACUUCUGGAAGUGAUGCAUUUAUUAGAUAAAAGGUCAAUGCGGGCUUUACCCAUUGCUCUGAUGAUUCAUGAUAACUUGACGGAUCGCACGGCCUUCGUGCCAACGACGCAUCAUUCAAAUUUCUGCCCUAUCAACUUUCGAUGGUAGGAUAGUGGCCUACUAUGGUGGUGACGGGUGACCGAGAAUUAGGGUUCGAUUCCGGAGAGGGAGCCUGAGAAACGGCUACCACAUCCAAGGAAGGCAGCAGGCAUGCAAAUUACCCAAUCCUGACACGGGGAUGUAGUGACAAUAAAUACCAAUACCGGGCUCUACGAGUCUGGUAAUUGGAAUGAGUACAAUCUAAAUCCCUUAACGAGGAUCCAUUGGAGGGCAAGUCUGGUGCCAGCAGCUGCGGUAAUUCCAGCUCCAAUAGCGUAUAUUUAAGUUGUUGCAGUUAAAAAGCUCGUAGUUGGACCUUGGGUUGGGUCGACCGGUCCGCCUUGCGGUGUGCACUGGGCGUCUCGUCCCUUCUACCGGCGAUGCAUUCCUGGCCUUAACUAGCCAGGUCAUGCCUCCGGUGCUGUUACUUUGAAGAAAUUAGAGUUAUUAAAAUGGUAAAACUUAUCGGAAAUAAUGGUAUUAACAAUUUGAAAUCUUUUAAGAAUAUGUUAGAAUCUGAGAUCCCACCUCAAUUUGUUACUGAGGUCCAUUUAUCUGGGCUUCCAGUUUGUAGGUAGGAAAGUUUGGACAUUGCAGAAUUUCAAGAGAUCGAUUUUUAACAUCCAGAAAUGAUUCACUUUUAGGUGAAAGACUAUUCUAAGCUUUAAUUCUUUGAGAACCGAAAUGAAAUGAUUUUGCUCCAUCUAGCAUCCAAAAAUUCCCACAAACUGUUUCAAGGCCUCAAAACUUCUUCUUCUUCUUCUUGUUUUUAAUGAGAAUCAUCCUUUGGAAAAUAACAUAUUCUCCAAGUGAAUAUAUGACAUUGUAAAGAUGAAAAUUCUCUCUUUAUAUCUUGUUAGGUGGUUUUUAGUUUUCUCAUCUUGUUGUUUCACUUCUUCAAUGACCAUGAUCAGUAUUAGAAAUUUACUUCAUUUCCUUUUUGAAAAUUUUGUUCACAAGUGCUUACCAGAAAAUAUUUCUUCUGAAAUUUGUUGUCUAGUGUCAUUUAAGAAAUAGAUAUGUUAUCUUUGCUAUUCUAUUUUUAUAGUUUUCUAUCUAAUCAGCUCAUUCGUUUUUUGAACAAAUUUACCAUGCUAUAUUUGUCUAGUUAGUCUCUUCAGAUAGAAAUUUACAUGUGUAUUUGUUGG